rnacentral:snRNA from 1 species
GUGCUUGCUUCAGCAGCACAUAUACUAAAAUUGGAAUGACAGAGAAGAUUAGCAUGGUCCCUGCGCAAGGAUGACACGCAAACUCGUGAAGGAAGUAAUGAUGCU